UCCGGUUUGUCACCGGCAGUCCCAUUAGAGUGCCCAACUAAAUGUAGCAACUAAUGGCAAGGGUUGCGCUCGUUGCGGGACUUAACCCAACAUCUCACGACACGAGCUGACGACAGCCAUGCAGCACCUGUGUUAUGGCUCCCUUUCGGGCACAACCGCGUCUCUGCGGCCUUCCAUACAUGUCAAAGGUGGGUAAGGUUUUUCGCGUUGCAUCGAAUUAAACCACAUCAUCCACCGCUUGUGCGGGUCCCCGUCAAUUCCUUUGAGUUUUAACCUUGCGGCCGUACUCCCCAGGCGGUCAACUUCACGCGUUAGCUUCGUUACUGAGAAAGUGAAUUCCCAACAACCAGUUGACAUCGUUUAGGGCGUGGACUAC
rnacentral:misc_RNA from 1 species